UUAGUUUUGUGUGUCUAGUAUAUGAUCUUUAAUUAGUUAGGUGAGUUAGUUUUGUGUGUCUAGUAUAUGAUCUUUAAUUAGUUAGGUUGGCAGGUGGCUAUUCCUAAACCAUCAUAAACUCCUAUUUGAGUAUUUUCUCUCUUUAGAUGGCAGGCUAAGUCAAUGGGUGGUUUUUCUAUGAUUUGACAUGUUGUCUAGUCUAUUUAGGUUGUUCGUAAAGAUGAUAUCUUUAAUGGUGUCUCAAUGAUUGUGAAUAAAGUGGAGGAAAAAUAUAUAUUUUUUUCAAAAAUGAUUUCUAGGUAGAGUAGAAUUGGAUUCAUGUACUUUCUCUAAUUACCUUCAGAAUCUUAUCAUCAGCAUAAAUCAAUAGCAUAUCGAGUGUUUGUCUUGAUUAUGAAAUUUAUUGUGGUUUUUGAUUUUUUAUCUCUCUUGGUGUUCCCUGAUUUUUUUAUUGUGGUUAUAAAACUUGAAUCCUAUGAGUAAGGUUUCUCGUUGCUAAGAUAUUUUUGUUUGUUAGAUUCAUAUGUUUUUUAACUGUUACGGUGUUUUUCUCUUUAGUGGUUUUUCUUUUCUUCUAUCUUUUGUUUUUCUUUGAGGUGAUCCGUUUAGUACUCUUUGUGUCUCGGUGUUUUUCACCU
rnacentral:lncRNA from 1 species